rnacentral:tRNA from 1 species
UCCCAGGUGGCUCAGACGGUAAAGCGUCUGCCCGCAAUGCAGGAGACCUGGGUUCAAUCCCUGGGUUGGGAA